AGUGAACGCUGGCGGCAGGCCUAACACAUGCAAGUCGAGCGGCAGCGCGUCCGACCACCCUCGGGUGGUCGGAUGGCGGCGAGCGGCGGACGGGUGAGGAAUGCAUCGGAAUCUGCCUCGUUGUGGGGGAUAACGUAGGGAAACUUACGCUAAUACCGCAUACGAUCUAUGGAUGAAAGCGGGGGAUCGCAAGACCUCGCGCGAUUGGAGCGGCCGAUAUCAGAUUAGGUAGUUGGUGAGGUAAAGGCUCACCAAGGCGACGAUCUGUAGCGGGUCUGAGAGGAUGAUCCGCCACACUGGAACUGAGACACGGUCCAGACUCCUACGGGAGGCAGCAGUGGGGAAUUUUGGACAAUGGGCGCAAGCCUGAUCCAGCCAUGCCGCGUGAGUGAAGAAGGCCUCGGUUGUAA
rnacentral:rRNA from 1 species